ensembl:lncRNA
AUUGUUAAUAAAUGUUGUGGUAUAUAUAUAUAUAAUUUCUAUAUAUUCUUGAUAUCAAUCAUUAAACAGCAUACACCAGAAUAUCUCCUGGUGAGUGGCUUGUAUUUGCUGUUUUGUCUAUGCCACACGUCACGUGGGAUCCUAGUUAUCCAAGCAGGGAUUGAAACACGUCCCCUUCGUUGGAGGCGUGGAGUCUUAACCUCUGGACCACCAGGGAAGUCCCUCGUGUCCUCUUUCUUGAGGGGGUUUCCUGGAAAUAAUUACUGCUUUCCUCCCCACUCCUUCCCCAGAAUGCUCUCUUGUUUGGAUCCAGUCCACCACCAGAUCCUGUCCAUUCUUCAUUGGACUCUCCAGUCCCACAGCCAGUCGAUGCAAGUUUGCAUUUAUCAUCUUCCCCAGCUGAUCACCGGAGCGCACGGUGCCGAGCAGCAGUUCUCCGCCUCAGGGACGAAGAGCAGCGUGAGACGCUGAGUGGCCGGCGGAACCCACCGUCAGUCCAGCUGCAGUGGGGCUGGGGUGCGUGAUGGGAAACCAGAGAGUGGGUUAGCCUCUCGUGACUGGAUGAAGGGGCAAGCACCUCACCGUUCUGGCCAGUGUUCCCAAAUCUUGCUCCUUUAUUUUUAAGAGAAAGCAAAAAAAAAAAAAAAACCUGGAAUUUUUUUUUUUUUUUUUAUGUAAAAUACCCCAGUUUCCAAACUGGCCCACUUAUUGUAAAAAAAAAAAAAACAAAACCUGUGCUGGCUGAUUAAAACCACCUGGGGGCUGGCUUGAGACCUGUGGGCUGCUGGCAGGCAGUUACUUGUUUCCUUGGGACAUCGUUCUUACCCGCCCUUCACAUGUGGAGGGCCCCCGGUUAGAGGAACCCCGCCUCAGAGCUGGGAUCUAAACCCACUCCUUUCAACUCCAAGUCCUCGGAUCUGGCCACCACGGUCAGCAAUUCCCCAGUGACUGAGUGUCCUCCACACACAACCCAACGGGCUGGUGCCCGGGACACAGAGCCUUCAUUCAGCUCCUGUUAACACCACGUCCACCACACCCAAAGGUCUGUCUGGGCUGGUGGGUCUUAGCGCUCUGCCAUGAAGCUCAUCCGGGUCCCUAGGGUCGCAUCGAGUCAGCCGUGACUGAAGUGACUUAGCUCACUUGUGAAGCUCAUUCCAGCACAGCGGGAGCCUCGGGGCCUCCACGAUGGCCUCACAGCGUAUCCUGUGUCUCCUGCAGAUACAGGGGACACAUGUGCUGGGCCUCUCUUGGCUGCCCAAGGCUGCCGUAGGGGCAGGAAGCCGGGCUCUCCUGCUCCAGCCUUCCCUGACACCUUGGACGUGACCUUCUCUCCGCUUUCUCCCUCUGUGAGCCUGGGGUGAAGGCCACCCACCACCCCGACUAGUCUGAAGUUGGACCCAGGUGGUCUGAGUGUUGCCCCCACCUUUGGUCUCAUCUCCCAGCCUGAUCCCGGACUCUCUCUUCACCUAGA